GAUGAAGAACGCAGCGAAAUGCGAUAAGUAAUGUGAAUUGCAGAAUUCAGUGAACCAUCGAAUCUUUGAACGCACAUUGCGCCCGGCAGUAAUCUGCCGGGCAUGCCUGUCCGAGCGUCAUUUCUGCCCUCGAGCGAGUCCAGCAUCUAGGUGCUGGGCCCGCCCGGCGUUGGGGCACUACGGGAAGCCCUGUGCUGUCCCCCGUAGGCCCCGAAAUGAAGUGGCGGUCCUGCCGCGGCGCCCCCUGCGUAGUAUAACACCUCGCUUCGGGACCCGGUGGAGGCCUGCCGUCAAACCUUACUCUCUAAGUUUGACCUCGGAUCAGGUAGGGUUACCCGCUGAACUUAAGCAUAUCAAUAAGCGGAGGA
rnacentral:misc_RNA from 1 species